UAGAUGACAUCAUCAUCCCUUCCCUUUAUAAGGGUUUGUACCUGGCUCAGUGUUCCAUUACACAGGUACUGAGCUUCUGCUGCAGAUUCACAGAAAGGUUCCCUAUCUAAGUGAUUUUUCUGUACCUGGGUAUCCGAAUUUUUCUUUUACAAGUUUUCUCACUAUAAGGCCAAACUGGUUGUAUACCAGAAAGCCCCGGUGAUAUAUGGGAUUUCCCACCAAGCACGUAUGAACGAGUCUUAUCGUAUUUUACUGUUCGUAUAAACAACUGUACGUUCCAGUCAUUCGAG